GCUUUCGCCGAAUCCCGGGGCCGAGGAAGC
rnacentral:piRNA from 1 species